rnacentral:rRNA from 1 species
AUUGAACGCUGGCGGCAUGCUUUACACAUGCAAGUCGAACGGCAGCGGGGAGGAGCUUGCUUCUCUGCCGGCGAGUGGCGAACGGGUGAGUAAUACAUCGGAACGUGUCGAGAAGAGGGGGAUAACCACCCGAAAGGGUGGCUAAUACCGCAUAAAUUCUGAGGAAGAAAGCUGGGGACCUAGGAAAAGGCCUAGCGCUUUUUGAGCGGCCGAUGUCGGAUUAGCUAGUUGGUGAGGUAAAGGCUCACCAAGGCGAAGAUCUGUAGCGGGUCUGAGAGGAUGAUCCGCCACACUGGGACUGAGACACGGCCCAGACUCCUACGGGAGGCAGCAGUGGGGAAUUUUGGACAAUGGGGGCAACCCUGAUCCAGCCAUGCCGCGUGUAUGAAGAAGGCCUUAGGGUUGUAAAGUACUUUUGUUAGGGAAGAAAAGUCAGCUGUGAAUAAUGGCUGAUACUGACGGUACCUAAAGAAUAAGCACCGGCUAACUACGUG